rnacentral:misc_RNA from 1 species
GCGGUUUUGUUGCGCGGACGGGAUGCGCCAAUUUCAAACGGCACAGUCUAUGCCACCGUCGGAGGAAGGCUUCUGGCCCUCGCCGAGAUUGGCAAUGGCGAACUCAUCCCCAAGCGUGUGUUCAACCUGACCGGGCUGACAGCUCAUCCCGGCCGCAAAGAAGGUGUUUGACGAUGUCGAUUGCCGCAGAACGCAAAGCGGAAGUCAUCAAGAAGAAUGCAACCAAGACCGGUGACACCGGUUCGCCUGAGGUUCAGGUCGCGAUCCUGUCGGAACGCAUCGCCAACCUCACCGAGCACUUCAAGAGCCACGUGAAGGACAAUCAUUCGCGCCGNNNNNNNNNNNNUCCACGCGCCGCUCCCUUCUGGACUACGUCAAGAAGAAGGACGAGGCCCGUUACAAGGCGC